UACGGCCAUAUCACGUUGAAACACCGGUUCCCCGUACGAUCACCGAAGUUAAGCAACGUCGAGCCUGAUCUAUAUCUCGAUGAGUGACCGCUUGGGAAUACCAUGUUCUGUAA
rnacentral:rRNA from 1 species